rnacentral:rRNA from 1 species
GAUGAACGCCGGCGGCGUGCCUAAUACAUGCAAGUCGAGCGAACGGACGAGAAGCUUGCUUCUCUGAUGUUAGCGGCGGACGGGUGAGUAACACGUGGAUAACCUACCUAUAAGACUGGGAUAACUUCGGGAAACCGGAGCUAAUACCGGAUAAUAUUUUGAACCGCAUGGUUCAAAAGUGAAAGACGGUCUUGCUGUCACUUAUAGAUGGAUCCGCGCUGCAUUAGCUAGUUGGUAAGGUAACGGCUUACCAAGGCAACGAUGCAUAGCCGACCUGAGAGGGUGAUCAGCCACACUGGACCUGAGACACGGUCCAGACUCCUACGGGAGGCAGCAGUAGGGAAUCUUCCGCAAUGGGCGAAAGCCUGACGGAGCAACGCCGCGUGAGUGAUGAAGGUCUUCGGAUCGUAAAACUCUGUUAUUAGGGAAGAACAUAUGUGUAAGUAACUGUGCACAUCUUGACGGUACCUAAUCAGAAAGCCACGGCUAACUCCGUG